rnacentral:misc_RNA from 1 species
CCAAGAGCUCGGUCCCAUAUUAGCUGAGAACAAAUGCCAAUACUCCUUGAUACACCAAAAAGAACAGUGAAGUACCUAGCUUCAGUUAAACCAUAGUAGUUCAGCAAUACCCCACUGUGAGCAUCAACAUUGGGCCAGGGGUUUUUAACCUUGCCUAGCUCAGUAAGGAUUGGAGGCACAACUUCAUAAAGCUUAGAAACCAGCUGGAACAGCGGAUCAUUAGGUAAAUGUUUCAAUGCAAACUCCCUCUGGCACGUGUAUCUUGGAUCAGUUUUACGUAAAACUCCAUGACCAAAUCCAGGAACAACCUUUCCACUAUUUAAUGUUUUCCAGACGUAGUCUUUCAGUUGUUCUGUGGUUAUAUUCUCCCCACACUCCUCCACUACAGAUUUAAUCCAAAGCAAAACUUCCUGAUUAGCCAAGCCAUGGAGUGGUCCAGCCAAACCAUUCAAUGCAGCUGCAAAUGAAAGAUAAGGAUC